rnacentral:rRNA from 1 species
CACCAAGAAAUUAAGUUAUAUAAUUAACGGUAAAAUAUAGUUAAAUAAACAUUCCGCUAUAUAAUUAUUUAUAAAAAAGUAAAAUUUAUAUAUAAACAAAUAACUCAAUAAUAGCCUAAAAGUUGACGCUAUGAAAUCCUCGAGGGAAACUGGGAUUAGAUACCCCACUAUUCUUGGGCAUAAACAUUAACCUACCAGGGUACUACGAAUACUUUAAAUUUAAAACUCAAAGGGCUUGGCGGUGUUUUAGACCCCUCAGGGGAACCUGUCUCAUAAUCGAUAAUCCACGCUAUACCUCACCUCUAUUUGCUUCCAGCCUGUAUACCGUUGUCGUCAGGUAACUUUUUAGAAUAUUAGAAGUUAGCUACCAAUUAAACUGAAUUAAAACGUCAGAUCAAGGUGCAGCCAAUAUAGAGGCGAAGAUGGGUUACAAUUAUACAUUUAUAACUACGAAUUAGUCAUAAGAAACAACGACUAAAAGGAGGACUUGAAAGUAAAUUAAAUUAGAUAGAUAAUUUGAAUCAGGCUCUAAAAUGCGU